AAACUUUUCAGCUAGAGUAUGAUAGAGGAAAGCAGAAUUUCUAGUGUAGAGGUGAAAUUCGUAGAUAUUAGAAAGAAUACCAAUUGCGAAGGCAGCUUUCUGGAUCAUUACUGACACUGAGGAACGAAAGCAUGGGUAGCGAAGAGGAUUAGAUACCCUCGUAGUCCAUGCCGUAAACGAUGUGUGUUAGACGUUGGAAAUUUAUUUUCAGUGUCGCAGGGAAACCGAUAAACACACCGCCUGGGGAGUACGACCGCAAGGUUAAAACUCAAAUGAAUUGACGGGGACCCGCACAAGUAGUGGAGCAUGUGGUUUAAUUCGAAGAUACGCGCAGAACCUUACCAACACUUGACAUGUUCGUCGCGACUCUAAGAGAUUAGAGUUUUCGGUUCGGCCGGACGAAACACAGGUGCUGCAUGGCUGUCGUCAGCUCGUGUCGUGAGAUGUUGGGUUAAGUCCCGCAACGAGCGCAACCCUCACUUUUAGUUGCCAUCAUUAAGUUGGGCACUCUGAAAGAACUGCCAGUGAUAAGCUGGAGGAAGGUGGGGAUGACGUCAAGUCCUCAUGGCCCUUACGUGUUGGGCUACACACGUGCUACAAUGGCAUCUACAACAGGAAGCAAAACGGCAACGUUAAGCAAAUCCCGAAAAGAUGCCUCAGUUCGGAUUGCACUCUGCAACUCGAGUGCAUGAAGCUGGAAUUACUAGUAAUCGUGGAUCAGCGUGCCACGGUGAAUGCGUUCCCGGGUCUUGUACACACCGCCCGUCACACCAUGGGAGUUGGUUCUACCUUAAGGCAAGGUUUUAAACCCUUGACCACGGUAUAGUCAGCGACUGGGGUGAAGUCGUAACAAGGUAGCCGUAGGGGAACCUGCGGCUG
rnacentral:rRNA from 1 species